CCCUUUUUGACGGCUCGGUGUCAUUUUUUCUUUGAACGGAGUUUGCGGUGGCGUCUUUUUUUGCUUUUGGAUGGUCACGGAGACAUGCUUGAAGGGUGCCGUGUCGUUGGGGAGGUGGGCGGAGGGGUUGGGCCGGCCGUGUGGGGCCCAGGCGCCGCGAGUGUCAAGAACGGGGGAGGGGAGACCUGCGUAGGAUAGGGCAUAAAAGGAAUAAGCGUGGGAAGUAUUUC
rnacentral:misc_RNA from 1 species